ACUCAAAGGAAUAGACGGGGGCCCGCACAAGCGGCGGAGCAUGUUGCUUAAUUCGACGCAACGCGAAGAACCUUACCAAGGUUUGACAUCACCCGGAAAGCUUCAGAGAUGGAGCCCUCUUCGGACUGGGUGACAGGUGGUGCAUGGCUGUCGUCAGCUCGUGUCGUGAGAUGUUGGGUUAAGUCCCGCAACGAGCGCAACCCUUGUUCCAUGUUGCCAGCGGCGCCUUCGGGCGGCCGGGGACUCAUGGGAGACUGCCGGGGUCAACUCGGAGGAAGGUGGGGAUGACGUCAAGUCAUCAUGCCCCUUAUGUCUUGGGCUGCAAACAUGCUACAAUGGCCGGUACAGAGGGCUGCUAAGCCGUGAGGCGGAGCGAAUCCCUAAAAGCCGGUCUCAGUUCGGAUUGGGGUCUGCAACUCGACCCCAUGAAGUCGGAGUCGCUAGUAAUCGCAGAUCAGCAACGCUGCGGUGAAUACGUUCCCGGGCCUUGUACACACCGCCCGU
rnacentral:rRNA from 1 species